rnacentral:rRNA from 1 species
ACUCGAGUGGCGAACGGGUGAGUAACACGUGGGUGAUCUGCCCUGCACUUCGGGAUAAGCUUGGGAAACUGGGUCUAAUACCGGAUAGGAGCCAUCUUUAGUGUGGUGGUUGGAAAGUUUUUCGGUGUAGGAUGAGCUCGCGGCCUAUCAGCUUGUUGGUGGGGUAAUGGCCUACCAAGGCGGCGACGGGUAACCGGCCUGAGAGGGUGUACGGCCACAUUGGGACUGAGAUACGGCCCAG